rnacentral:rRNA from 1 species
CACGUAGGCACCAAGCGUUGUCCGGAUUUAUUGGGCGUAAAGAGCUCGUAGGCGGUUCAGUAAGUCGGGUGUGAAAACUCUGGGCUUAACCCAGAGCCGCCACCCGAUACUGCUGUGACUAGAGUCCGGUAGGGGAGUGGGGAAUUCCUAGUGUAGCGGUGAAAUGCGCAGAUAUUAGGGGGAACACCGGUGGCGAAGGCGGCCCCCUGGACCGGUACUGACGCUGAGGCGCGAAAGCGUGGGUAGCAAACGGG